UUUCAUCAAGGUGCCAGAACAGACUUAAGAAACAAUGAGAAAAAACUGGCUUUGGACAUGGCUACCAAUGCUGCCUGUGCUUCCUUGCUUAAAAAGAAACAAGGGCAAGACAUAAUGCGAACAUUAAGCAAUGCAGAAGACUAUCUUGAUGAUGAAGACUCUGACUGAAUUGCCUUAAUUUGCCUUGAAAAAUCAAUAGCUUCUUCUUUUCAUCUUUCUCAGAUUAUUUUCCUCUGCUGUGACAAAAUAUUUUUAUCACAAUGUGUGCUACUAUAACUUAAGUAUGGGGAGACAUUCCUCCCUUAUAAAAAAAAGUUCUCCCCUAUUAAGGCUAUAAAUUCCCUAAUUGCUUUUUAAAUUAUUUGUCUAGAAGAGGGCUAUGUUGAAAUAGGCUUCACUCUUUAAGUAACAUUUAGAGAUGUCAGCCAUUUGGAGUGGACGGGAAAUAUAUAUUCAUCUUAAAAUGACAUGUUUUGGGCUAUUUUAUGGAGAACAACAUCUCAGGAACUUGGAUUCUCCACAGAACAUUUUACCAUCAUCCCUUAUCCUCUCUCUUCCCCCUCCAUAUAUAUUUAUAGGUUGUCUCUCAUUAAGUUGAUCUACUUUGUGCUAGAACACCUAAUGGCAGGUUACGUAAAGAAAACUCAGGCCAGGGAGCUAAAAUUAAAUGACUCCUUUAAUGUUUCCCUUGAGAACUGGCUGUGAUUGCAAUUACUGUAGGUUAAUUCACAUGGUCCAAAAAACGGUUUAGCACCAGAUGAGGUAGGGAGGGAAUAAUCUUGAGGGAAGAGUGAGAAAGGAAAAGGAAGAUUGUUUGGUCAGCUAAAAGCAGCCAUUUAGCCUUGAUAGUUCAGACAUUAAUCUUUUGCAAUCUCUCUAGAAUAAGGAUGGCCAACCUUGGCAACUUUAAGACCUGUUGGACUUCAACUCCCAGGAUUCCUCAGCUAGCCAUGGAAUUCUGGGAGUUGAAGUCCACAGGUCUUAAUGUUGCCACAGUUGGACAUCUCUGCUCUAGGAGUCUUGUCACUACAAUUGGAUCUGGAGGAUAAAAGAAGGCUUAAUUCUGUCUUUUACAAUGACCGUAGGGAGAAUUUGAUCUUAUGAAUAAGAAAUGUAUGUUUAAGCUCAAACGUGUCUUCCAUAAUAAUAAUUUUGGAGAUGAAAAGAGGCUGAGCCUUCUCUUUCGCUCUAAUUUGUAUGUGUGAGAUAUUUUCCAAAUGUCCCUUAUUUCACAGAAUUGCUGCCCUCUGUGUGUAUGUACUGGUAUGUAUGUAUGUAUGUGUAGAUGUGCUUGCGUGUGUCCAAGUCCUGAAUUUUAAGUGGAGAGAAAACUAGGUAAGAUAUCCUCCGUUGUCUUGCUUUAUGGCUUUAUGAGGUAAUAAGCCAAAAAAUGUGGCAUUUGCCCAUCUGAACACAUGCAGAAGUCUGUUAAUUUAUCUGCAUCAUUUCUUCUUUUUCACCUGAACAUCUCAUCAAAGUUGUUUCUACACAUGAAUCCAGCAUCUGGAUUAAGAGAGAUGUAAUAGGCAAUCCAUUUAUGGUCUUUAUUAUCUCUAUAUUGCAACAUAGAGGUGGCAGUAAAUCAUUUUUGCCAAAGUGUUCCUGGCUGCAAUAAUGGGAGUUGCGUUGAAACACAUCUAAAGUACAGUAUAUAAUAUUGGGACCAGCUGCACUCAGUCUUCAUGUAUUUAUAGUAGAAUUCAUUCACUGAGGCCCAUGGUAUAUAACAUUCUCUUUGUACAGGUUGUCAACUUAAUUUGGGGCAGAUUUACCUAGAGAUACUCGUUAUUCUGCUGUAAUUUGGAAGAUAUUUAUGGUUGUGUCUGUAACAGGAUGAUAAUGACUCUUUUCACCAUAUGCUCUUAACUUUCCUGUUUCUUUUUACCUUCAAAGUAUUUCAGAGUGGAUAUGUUCUGAACUCAUGCGCAAUGUAAAAAAGCCUACAAGCCAAAACUAUAUUCAGAAAAGUAUUGAUUCAGUAUGAAUAAAUAUUUUUAAAUGCUUUGAAA